UGUCCGCAGGCUGGCGGGCCCCAGGCUGGGCUGGGUGAGUACCUCUUUGAAAGGGUCACCCUCAAGCACGACUAGGAGA
rnacentral:pre_miRNA from 1 species